UACAGAGGGUGCGAGCGUUGUCCGGAAUUACUGGGCUUAAAGGGUGCGUAGGCGGCGCGGAAAGUUGGGUGUGAAAUCCCUCGGCUCAACCGAGGAAUUGCGCUCAAAACUACCGUGCUCGAGGGAGAUAGAGGAGCGCGGGAACUUAGGGUGGAGCGGUGAAAUGCGUUGAUAUCCUAGGGAACACCGGUGGCGAAAGCGGCGCUCUGGGAUCUCAUCUGACGCUGAUGCACGAAAGCUAGGGUAGCGAACGGGAUU
rnacentral:rRNA from 1 species